GUGGCUUCAACGCAUUUGCCGCCGGGAAAGAAGAUCCUUCGCACGUUCACCGGCAACAUAGCCUUCAGGGUCAAGCAAAUAACUAGCAAGUGGUAAUACUAUUUUUUGAUAAGAACACUCAUACCACUGAUAAGACUUCCUCCAAGUAUCCUACUUUUUACCAUGGUUUUCAAAGAAAAUUUUUUAUUUCUUUUUCAUCAAUUAAUCCUG
rnacentral:misc_RNA from 1 species